UGCAACAGAACAUGGGUUUUCAGCUUGGAA
rnacentral:piRNA from 2 species